CCAGCAUCUGACAAAUCAUCAUUGCAAGGAUAUCAGUGAAGCUUGUGGGUUCAUGUACUAUUUUAAAAUGAGCUGUUUAAUCAUCACCAGGGCCGUUCAUGCUCCAAAUCCAAAGAUAGAACCAAUGGGGGGAAUGUUGGGGAUCAGAAUCAUCCAGAAGAGAAGACUGGCCCUGAGCUAACAUCCAUACCCAUCUUCCUCUGCUUUAUACGUGGGAUGCCUACCACAGCAUGGCUUUUGCCAAGCAGUGCCAUGUCCACACCUUGGAUCUGAACCAGUGAACCCCGGGCCACUGAGAAGCGGAAUGUGCCAACUUAACUGCUGUGCCACUGGGCCAGCCCUGAGAUGGUAAAUGUUUUUAUUUUUAUUUUAUAGGCAAAGAUAUUGUAGCAGAUGCUGUUGGCGUCCCACCCAUAUUGGUGGAUCCUUACCACUUCAGUGCUGGCCUGUCUCUUUCCUGCUGCUAGGAGCUGCAUCUCUUUGCUGAGGAUAGGCAAGACCACUCUUCCCCACUCACUGGAUGCAAAAGUGCCAAGAGAAAUCAACCAUUCCCACCCCCACAGCCUUUACCAUGACUGUUUGCAGUUGGUGUAUAAAUACCCCAGCUCCCUCCACCCUCAACAGUGUUACACUUUUGCCGCGUGUUACACUGCCGCGUGUUACACUUUUACAGUAUGUCCUGUACCAGUUCUCAGUUUCUCCACACAAUUAAGCUCCAACUUAAUUCCAAGAGCAGCUGGCCUAAUAAUGUGCCCUUAACUGGAUGCAGUCUCUUCCCUGUCUCGAUGCUCCGCUCCACUACUGUGUUUCCUGUACCAAUGGUGUGCUAGUAAACUGGUGCUCAAAACACAAAGAAAACAAAAACAAAACAAAACCAGCCCUGAGGUGUAGCACUUGCUGAUUUCCAUGAUGUAAAUACUCCUGCUAUGGCCUAUUUCAGGCUCUGUGAUUUCAGUUUGUCAUCACUGAACACAGAACUGAGAAGAGAUGUGCCCAGUCAGCUCUCCCCAGCCAGUACGAGCCACCUCCAGCACACCACGCCCUGUACCUCCUGAAUAAACCGUGCUCAAAUCCUUGUUUCAGGGUCUGCUUCUUGGGCAUCUCAAAGUAAGAGAAAAAAUAAAGUUCAGAGAAACUAGGUAAUUUCCUGAGGUAUGGACACUUUGUCAGUGGCUGAAGGAAUGCCUUAUUAUUACCUAACAAAUUAUAUGGUAAGAUGUGAGGUUAUUAUGUUAGUUACCUAGACUGUCACUUAUUUGUCAAACAGUAAUGCCUUAAAAGCAG
rnacentral:lncRNA from 1 species